GUUCCAGAAAGUUAGGUGCUGCUAUGUUAGUUCUCAGUUCUUUUGGAAAAAUGGAGCAGAAAGGAAGGAAAAACCGGAAUGUCAAGCACCGCUGCCUACUUUGAACAUUUUAAGAAGUGAAAACAGCAAGUGACAACUAUUGAGCUGUACUCAUCUGAUAAGGCUCUUCGAUACUUUGGUCCAUCCAUCAUUAAAAAUGUUGUCUGCAUCAUUCCACCUGAAGAAUUCAUCUCAAAACAUGACUUUUGCUAUAUAAUGGGUUUUACAGGAUGAGGGGGAUGACUGUUUAUGAAGUCCCUUUAGCUAAGG